rnacentral:rRNA from 1 species
UACGUAGGUGGCAAGCGUUGUCCGGAUUUACUGGGCGUAAAGGAUGCGUAGGCGGAUAUUUAAGUGAGAUGUGAAAUUCCCGGGCUUAACUUGGGAGCUGCAUUUCAAACUGGAUAUCUAGAGUGCGGGAGAGGAGAAUGGAAUUCCUAGUGUAGCGGUGAAAUGCCUAGAGAUUAGGAAGAACACCAGUGGCGAAGGCGAUUCUCUGGACCGUAACUGACGCUGAGGCAUGAAAGCGUGGGUAGCAAACAGG